rnacentral:rRNA from 1 species
CCUACGGGAGGCAGCAGUGGGGAAUUUUGGACAAUGGGCGAAAGCCUGAUCCAGCAAUGCCGCGUGAGUGAAGAAGGCCUUCGGGUUGUAAAGCUCUUUUGUCAGGGAAGAAACGGUGAGAGCUAAUAUCUCUUGCUAAUGACGGUACCUGAAGAAUAAGCACCGGCUAACUACGUGCCAGCAGCCGCGGUAAUACGUAGGGUGCAAGCGUUAAUCGGAAUUACUGGGCGUAAAGCGUGCGCAGGCGGUUUUGUAAGUCUGUCGUGAAAUCCCCGGGCUCAACCUGGGAAUUGCGAUGGAGACUGCAAGGCUAGAAUCUGGCAGAGGGGGGUAGAAUUCCACGUGUAGCAGUGAAAUGCGUAGAGAUGUGGAGGAACACCGAUGGCGAAGGCAGCCCCCUGGGUCAAGAUUGACGCUCAUGCACGAAAGCGUGGGGAGCAAACAGGAUUAGAUACCCUGGUAGUCCACGCCCUAAACGAUGUCUACUAGUUGUCGGUUUUAAUUACUUAGGUAACGCAGCUACGCGUGAGUAGACCGCCGUCGGGAGGUACGGUCGGUCGAGAGUUAAACGUAACUUAAGUUAGUAAGUUAGACGGCGNGAGACGNGCGACGGACGACGACGAGGGAGGAGG